GCAGUCAAAUUUUUCCACUUACUGGCCCGCAUUUCUCAUCCAAGUGCAAGAGGCAGUCAAAUUUCUCCCCCUCUUUCAUUUUGUUUUGUUUUGUUUAUUUUCUUCUUGGCUUCCUCGAUCUUUUGUUAGCAGAGCAUCUUUCUUUGAUCCCACUAAUGGGCCUUUCAUUCAAUUCCCUCGCUUCUCUUUUCUUUCUAGGGUUUUAAAGGGAUUCGUCCUACUCUCUCUAAAACCGUCUCUCUCUCUAAACGGUGGUCUCCAGUCCUCUAUCCUACGAAUCACAAUUCUCCCUUCUGAAUUUUCUCCCUCUCUCUAUUGAGGAUCAUCUCUCGCUUUAUUUUCUAGCCUUUCCUUUCUGUUAAGGCUUCCUUUGUUUUUUCUGGAGGGGAUAUCAGAGUUCGAGUAUUUAGGUUUAUUGGGUUUUCCUACUUGCUUUUUUUUUAUUUUUUUUCUUUAUUUAUUUAUUUAUUUUUUUCUGGGAUGGGGUUUCAGAGUUCGAGGGCCUGGUUUUCUGCCCUAGUUUUUAUUGCCUCCAUAGGGGUUUGUUGAUGUUAUACAAAGUAGGAAAACUGACAGUAUCUCCUCUCUUUCUUUCUAUCUCUUUGUGAUAUAUUAAUAAUUUUGAGCCCCCUUUUCCUUAUCUUUUCUCCUGCGCACUCCUAAAUCAAAUUACUUAUGAUUUUUUUUAUUUUUAAUGUAUUGUCAAUUGAUGUUUUUGGAGGUUUUAAAGUUGUUUUUGUGUGUUAUCUUUGCACUUUCACAGAUCACCGUUUAAAGUUUUGAUCGAGAAUACAAGUUUCUCAAUGUGUAUAUGGUUAAUGUUUGAAGGAUUCCCAUGAGUUUUAACAAACAAAAUAAUUGAGUUUCAUAUGGUGGCCAGUUUCUUGAGUUAGUUGGCUGGGCAAUAUUAAGCCGUUUAUGUGCCAUAUUUCAUGGGAUUUUCUUGUAUACGGAAGUUUUGAGGUCCUCUUGUGGCAUUGGAUUAAAUAAUCUGCUUGGGGUUGUGAUCAUACUCUUAACAUCUUGUGGCAUUGGAUUAAAUAAUCUCCUUGGGGCUGUGAUCAUACUCUUAACAGUUGUUAUGGGUUACCUUAAUCUGUGGAAAAAAAAUGUGGUGCCAUAUGAUUGGAUUCACGGAGAUUGGAAGGUUUUAUAAUUUUGUGUUUUAAUAUUUGAAUUUAGGUUUUUAUGGGUUUAUGAUCAGUAUGAUUGUGAUUGAUUUAGUUUGGGCUUUGAUUUUUUUAGUUGGAAUAGAUGGUUCUAUAUUAAAAUCUUGGUGAUAUUUUGACAUAUUAUCAACCAGAUUCUACUUGAAUUCCAUAUUUGUCACUGAUAUAUGUGACUUAUCUGAGCUAGUUCCAACUUUUGGGUGUGAGUUUUGCAUUCCCAGUGCAUUUGAAUGUGUUUUUAAUCAUCUUCUGGAUUCUUUCAUUGUACAUGUUCAAUAUACAUUUUGCUGCGUGCAUACUAUGAAUGAAAUGCUCCAUACAUGCUUGUUUAGAUGUACACAUUAUUACUCCUUAUGCACUAUUUCAAUAAAAAUUAAUCUAUAUAAUGAAUUAGUUGUUUUUGGUAGUGUCCAUCACAAAGUUAUUUGAGAUAAACUUAUAAGCAGUUUUGGAGAUAAUUGUAUCUUUUUGAAAGUUUGUUUUGCUUUAUUCAUAGUAAUUUGCUAAAAAUCACAUGUUUUUGGCCAAACAUAGCUGAAAAUAGCUAGAAAUCGCUGAAAGAGUUUAAUAAAGUAAUAUUAUACAUAAGGCAAGAUACAUACCAUAUAGCUAACAAGAUAAUAUUAUCCAGCUUGUAUUAGUUUUAGAUAAGAUAGUCGAUUCCAGAUGAAAUUAAUUUUCAAUCCGAACAUGCUUGUACUAUAUAUGAUGGAUAAUGCUUUGCCAUAUAUUUUAGAUGGUAAUGUGACAUUUUGGUUUCUUUCGUGUCAUUGUACAACUAAAGCAUUUCUACUGCUUAUGAUUGCCAUAUUGAUUUUUGUUAAGAAUCUUUUACCCUUAACUUGUCACAUAUGUUAAUGGUGAUUUUGUGUCAAUUUUUAAAGGCAGGUUGAUCUGUGGUGUGCCUCUAUUAUUAGAGGGGAUUAACAAGAGUCAUAAUAAUGCCUACAAGUAAGUAUUUGAUGUGGUUGCUUCCUGAUUCCUCUUUUCUAUGUAGUUUAUUCUGCUUUCUUUGAAACAUAGAUAUACGUAGGAAACAAUAAAGGCAUGAAUCAUCAUCAACAUCAUCAUCAUUUGAGCCUUAUCCCAACUAUUUGAGGUCAGGCUACAUGAAUCAUGUUCUGCCACCAAGCACUGUAACCUCAGUCAAACAAGGAUUCAUGAAAAGAUAUGGGAAAGUUUUACGCUGACUGCCCUACCUAACACAACCCUCCUCCUUUAUCCGGGCAGCGAUGGCAGAGUUACAAUAAAUGCAUAAAUGUGCAUCAUUAAAUUGCAAAUGAUAAGGAAAAAAGAAAAAAGAAAAAGAAAAAAUUUAAAACUUUUAGUUGUUAGCCUUGAAAGAAGAGGGCCUCAUUGGGUGCACAAAGCACUAUGUCUUCAAUCAAAGAAGCUGUAGAGCCUUGAAGCAUUGGUCAGAGUUUUAUUUUCAUUUUCUAAAUAUUUUUAUCUAGCCAAAAGGCCAUAUCCCAAAAGCUGAAUUAUUUGGUUUCAUUUCUUGAGAAUCUUGAAUAGAACACUAAAAAAUUGCCAUAUUAUUAACACUCAAAGCACCCCUUGCAAAACCCCCCCACCUCCCCACAAAAAAAAACAACAGUCUAUCAAAAAACAACACAGUAUGAAACAACUGUCUAAUUUUGUAUGAUGUGAUGUAGGACCAAACAGAUUGGCAUCUACAUAUGUAUUAGUAAGCAUUGGUGGGCUGAGCAUUAUAAGUUUAAGAGUAUGUGGUUGCAAACCAGGGUUACCAUUAUAUAAUGAUGCUUGGUUUUUGACGGGCAGCUAGGUCGUGGACAUGAGAAAUAAGUUUAGGGGUUGUAGAUGAUUUAAGAUAUAAUGCCAAGGUAGAUGUCGUGAUGGUUUGAGAAAGUUCAAAUGUUUAAUGGAGAGCAGGUAUGGGUUAAGGGUCUAGAGGGGUUUGGAUGGUUGUCGAAGGUGUAGCUUAUUUUGGUGCUUUAUAUUAGGGGUUGAAGUUGAUGGCUAAGAAGAAUGGAAGAUGGGAUGUGGCCUUGUAUGGUGUCUGGUUUGAUGAUGAUGGUGGUGUGUCGUAGAUGGAUGUGAAUUUUUAUUGAUGAAGUAACAGAAGUGCCUUGGGAGUAAUGGUUGGUUUUGAUGAUGGAGCUUGUGAUGAAGAGGGGAUGAGCGUAGGUUGAAGAAGGGGAUGACCUAAAAGCAACACCCUUUUGCUUGCAAAUAGCCUUCCUAUAGAACCUGAGCGCUCUUCCAGUUUGGAUGCUUGUUGAGCUUCGUGUUCUCGGUUUAUCUAGAACUCAUUUCUAAAGCAGAUGCAGAGUUGGAUUUGCCGGGGAUAGGAGACUCAAAGAACCACAACUACUAGGGUUAAAUUAGAACUUUACAGAAUCAAUACUCUCAUGGACAUAGGGGUUUAUGGAAUCAAUAAGGGCUGGGUGGAUAUAUAGAGAGAGAGAGGAACUAGAAGCUUGGAGGAUGAUAGUGAUAGAGAGGGCAAAGAGACAGAUCUUUGGGGUAGAGAGGAGAUUUUUUUUUUUUAAAUGUUUCUUAAAACAAGGGGUAUUUAAGUCCAAAAUAUUGUUGAUGUCCUUUUGAGGGGGUUAUUUGUCUGAACAGUUGGAACUUGGGGAGUUUUUGAUUGUAAGAAAAGGUUUAGGGGUUUUUUGUAGUAUAGAUAUAAAUAUAAGUUGGGGGGUCCUAUUCCCCCACGGAGAUGCACCAUGUAUAUACAAAUGUAUAUUAUGUAGUAUGAUGUGGCAUUUGCUAUCAUUCCUGUGUGGUGCACUGCAUUAUGCCAUGGAGCAUGUUGUACCUCGUAUUGCAUGUACAUUCAAUGCAACUUCACAUGCCAUGGAGUAUGACUUACAUGUUGCACGUGUGCAAUGCAUCGCAACAUAACAUGAGUAUGGAGUACUUUGCAUGGCUCAUGCAUAUCAUGCAGCGCUGUAUUUCAUGGAGCAUGCAGUCAUGUGCUACAUGCUUAUACAAAUAUCAUCCCUUUUACGGUCCAUCAUGUUCAUGCUAUCUUAACAACCAUUAACCCUCUUAUGGUCCUCUUAUAGGAGUGUUAGGUAUCUAGGUUUCCUUAUUUGUACUUAGUGUUUUGGUUUCCUAUUUGUUUGAAUUUCAUUUAUGUCAGUGGAGUUCUGAUCCAUCUUGUAGUCCAAGUAAAUCAGGAUUUAGAAGACUAGCAUAAAUACAUUCAAGGGGCAUAUGUCCAGACUCCAGACAAUGCUUUGAACGAUAAAAUUUGCCUUCUUGCACACUUAGAUAGUAUUGAUUCCAUCUGAAUUGUUGAUUCCACAAAUCACCGUUAGUGCUGAUUCUGUGAAACCUUAAUUUUGUAUGGUGUAGAUAUUGUAUGAUUUUUUAGUUUUUUUGAUAAAUGUUAACUUUUGUAUUGCUAUUAGUCGUACAAUUUUUUAGUUAGUAUCCAUAUUUGUAGUAUUAUAUUGAUUUAUAGAAGUGUUGGCCUUUCCUCUAUAUUUCAUUUAUCUUCAACCACACAUUUCCAUCUAUUCAUGCCAAACCUCAACGAGCCACAUCUCUCUGCACUACCCUAUUCCAAUCAGACCCUAAUGCAUCAUAACCCUAACUUCAUUAACCUAGUCGUGUGUCCGAUCCAAUUCCAUCUGUUUCGUCUUCUUAAUCACAACUUAAUUCAAACUGUAACCCUAAUUCUUCUUAAAUCUUAAUUUUGAAACUCGUCAACCGUAGUCCACUAAACCCUACAUGUAGCUAAUCCUUUUUCCUUCAUCCAUGUGUGCCUUGGAAGUCAUCCACAUUCGAAGGUAUUCUUGAUUUUAAGAACUUCCAAAUUUCAUCUUAUUCACUUUGGUUCUUAGGAUUGAAGGUUAAUGGAUAAUGAGAUGCUUAUAUUUUGGAAAAAAAAAAAAACUAUAGGAACAAACACACAUUGCCUGCCUUGUUCAUGAAACUGUGUGGUUUGCCACACAGACAUUUCAAAGAAUUAUGCCAUUAGUUCCAACAAUGUAGGAAGGAGAAAUCUUCAGGUUCAGAAUUUCUGACAGUGCUUUCCAUUGCGUAGCUUGGUAAUUUUUUAUGUUGCUUCCCCUAAAAUAAUUCGGUAGGGAGGCGUAUUUCUCUUUGAUUGUUUCUGCUAGUGAAUAACUUUCUGUCUCAUUUUGUUGUAGGACUUAUGUUUGAGAAUUAUUGUGAAGUUGGAGUAUUUUCAAAAUUAACAAAUGCAUAUUGUUUGGUGGGAAUUGGAGGGUCAGAAAACUUUUACAGCACAUUUGAAGUAGAAUUAGCCGAUGUCAUUCCUGUGGUUAAAACAUCCAUUUCAGGCACAAGAAUGAUAGGACGGCUUUGUGUGGGGAAGUUAGUCAUGUCAUAUGUCUAAAAAGGUGGCCAUGAAUUUUUGUUUCACAUGUUGGGAUAUGACAAGUCUUAACAAGAAGGGGGCUUCUCUUGCCACACAACACCACUGAUCAAGUUAACAGAGGAGUUGAUUGCGGAUGUCCUUGGUGUUCAGGCAGACCAUUGCGGGUAAUAUUCUAGUGGGUAAGUAUUGUGCAUUCUCCAACAUGGGUGGCCUGGUAAGUUUGAAAUGAAUGUCUGUUUUGCAUCUUCCCUUCCAAUAUGUGUGGAUCUAAAAAGCAAAUACCAAAAAGCAUGUUUCCAUUUUUAUUUUUUUCACCAAUUUCCCCCUUUUGUGUGUUUCGAUAUGAUUGUAUCAAAAUAGGAAAUGGCACCAUUGUAUUGUUAGAAACAUAUGCUGGGCGAUUAUAUCUAUAGAAAUUAGCAGUUGUUCUUCGUUA